UACGUAGGGUGCAAGCGUUGUCCGGAAUUAUUGGGCGUAAAGGGCUCGUAGGCGGUUUGUUGCGUCGGGAGUGAAAACUUACAGCUUAACUGUGAGCGUGCUUCCGAUACGGGCAGACUUGAGGUAUUCAGGGGAGAACGGAAUUCCUGGUGCAGCGGUGAAAUGCGCAGAUAUCAGGAGGAACACCGAUGGCGAAGGCAGCCCCCUGGGCCAACACUGACGCUCAGGCACGAAAGCGUGGGGAGCAAACAGG
rnacentral:rRNA from 1 species